rnacentral:rRNA from 1 species
GUGUACGAAGAAGGCCUUCGGGUUGGAAAGUACUUUCAGCGGGGAGGAAGGGAGUAAAGUUAAUACCUUUGCUCAUUGACGUUAACCGCAGAAGAAGCCCCGGCUAACUCCGUGCCAGCAGCCGCGGUAAGACGGAGGGUGCAAGCGUUAAUCGGAAUUACUGGGCGUAAAGCGAGCGUAGGUGGCUUGAUAAGUCAGAUGUGAAAUCCCCGGGCUUAACCUGGGAACUGCAUCUGAAACUGUUAGGCUAGAGUAGGUGAGAGGGAAGUAGAAUUUCAGGUGUAGCGGUGAAAUGCGUAGAGAUCUGAAGGAAUACCGAUGGCGAAGGCAGCUUCCUGGCAUCAUACUGACACUGAGGCUCGAAAGCGUGGGUAGCAAACAGGAUUAGAUACCCUGGUAGUCCACGCCGUAAACGAUGUCGACUUGGAGGUUGUGCCCUUGAGGCGUGGCUUCCGGAGCUAACGCGUUAAGUCGACCGCCUGGGGAGUACGGCCGCAGGGUUAAAACUCAAAUGAAUUGACGGGGGCCCGCACACGCGGUGGAGCAUGUGGUUUACUUCGGUGCUACGCGGAGCACCUUACCUGGUCCUGACAUCCACAGACCUUUCGAGACAUGUCUUGUUUCCUUCUGUGACUGUGCGAAAGGUG